rnacentral:rRNA from 1 species
UACAGAGGGGGGCAAGCGUUUGUUCGGAAUUAUUGGGCGUAAAGAGCGUGUAGGCGGCCAGAUAAGUCCGCUGUGAAAUCUCGAGGCUCAACUUCGAGCUGUCGGUGGAAACUGUCUGGCUAGAGUCCGGAAGAGGAGAAUGGAAUUCCUGGUGUAGCGGUGAAAUGCGCAGAUAUCAGGAAGAACACCCGUGGCGAAGGCGGUUCUCUGGGACGGUACUGACGCUGAGACGCGAAAGCGUGGGGAGCGAACAGG